GAUUCCCCUAGUAACUGCGAGUGAAGCGGGAAAAGCUCAAAUUUAAAAUCUGGUGGUCAUUGGCCAUCCGAGUUGUAAUUUAGAGAAGUGUCUUCCGCGCUGGACCGUGCACAAGUCUCCUGGGAUGGAGCGUCAUAGAGGGUGAGAAUCCCGUCUUUGGCACGGACACACCAGUGCUUUUGUGAUGCGCUCUCGAAGAGUCGAGUUGUUUGGGAAUGCAGCUCAAAAUGGGUGGUGAACUCCAUCUAAAGCUAAAUAUUGGCGAGAGACCGAUAGCGAACAAGUACCGUGAGGGAAAGAUGAAAAGCACUUUGGAAAGAGAGUGAAACAGUACGUGAAAUUGUUGAAAGGGAAACGCUUGAAGUCAGUCGCGUCGACCGAGACUCAGCCUUGCCUUGGCUUGGUGUAUUUCUCGGCUUGACGGGUCAGCAUCAAUUUUGCCCCUUGGAUAAUGGCAAGGGAAAUGUGACACCUUUACGGUGUGUUAUAGUCUCUUGUCGCAUGCAAGGUUCAGGAUUGAGGAACUCAGCACGCGCCUUUUGGGUGUCGGGGUUUUUGCCCACGAUACGUGCUUAGGAUGUUGGCGUAAUGGCUUUAAACGACCCGUCUUGAAAACAC
rnacentral:rRNA from 1 species